ensembl:rRNA 5S_rRNA 5S ribosomal RNA
GUCUAUGGCCAUACCACCCUAAAUGUGCCUGAUCUCAUCUGAUAUUGGAAGCUAAGCAGGGUUGGGUCUGAUUAGUACUUGGAUGAGAGAACAGACUUGUGGUUGCCAAGGCA